rnacentral:rRNA from 1 species
UACGGAGGAUGCAAGCGUUAUCCGGAAUGAUUGGGCGUAAAGCGUCCGCAGGUGGCGAUGUAAGUCUGCUGUUAAAGAGUCUAGCUCAACUAGAUAAGAGCAGUGGAAACUACAUAGCUAGAGUACGUUCGGGGCAGAGGGAAUUCCUGGUGUAGCGGUGAAAUGCGUAGAGAUCAGGAAGAACACCAGUGGCGAAGGCGCUCUGCUAGGCCGUACUGACACUGAGGGACGAAAGCUAGGGGAGCGAAUGGG